GACGAACGCUGGCGGCGUGCUUAACACAUGCAAGUCGAACGAUGACGACCGAGCUUGCUCGGUCUGAUUAGUGGCGAACGGGUGAGUAACACGUGAGCAACCUGCCCUUCACUCUGGGAUAACCUCGGGAAAUCGGGGCUAAUACCGGAUAUGAGCUCCUGUCGCAUGGCGGGUGUUGGAAAGUUUUUCGGUGAAGGAUGGGCUCGCGGCCUAUCAGUUUGUUGGUGAGGUAGUGGCUCACCAAGGCGAUGACGGGUAGCCGGCCUGAGAGGGCGACCGGCCACACUGGGACUGAGACACGGCCCAGACUCCUACGGGAGGCAGCAGUGGGGAAUAUUGCACAAUGGGCGAAAGCCUGAUGCAGCGACGCCGCGUGAGGGAUGACGGCCUUCGUGUUGUAAACCUCUUUCAGCAGGGAAGAAGCGAAAGUGACGGUACCUGCAGAAGAAGCGCCGGCUAACUACGUG
rnacentral:rRNA from 1 species